CAUGAGCCACUGCGCCCGGCCUCAACCUUUAUAUCGUAAGUAGCUCACACUGACCCCAGCCAAACUCUGCAUUCAGACUCAUCUGGGUUCCAAUCUGCUCUGCCCCGGCCAGCUGUACCUGCUGAGGAAGCAGCUUCCCCUCUCUGAACCACAGCAUCUCCAUCUGUCUGGGGAGCUAAGGGGUCCCUACUAUGACAGGUUGUCCUGAAGGUUACAUAAAAAAUGACAGUGAGGGUUCCCACUCCUGGGUGCACUUCAUGGAACAAUGAGGACUCCCCAGCCCCAGGCCUACAUCUGUACCAAAAUGGGGACAAGGGUUGGGGGGGAGAAAGAGACCUCAGGAUAUUUUUCAGCUCUUCAGCUGAUUCUGAUGCUCACACAGGGCAUGGAUGGCCAAGACAGAUAGUGCCACUGCAGGGCUGUGCAUGGCCUUUGGUAUGAACUUGGGGUUUAACAAGCGGUGGCCGGCAUUACAAUGAGGCAGCAGAGUGUGGUGGGCAGGGGAGUCUAGAGCCAGUCAGCCUGGCUAGAACCACAAUGCUGCCACUCCCCACCUGUGUGGCCUGAGCAUGGCAUUAAAAACAAAUAAGAAUAGUAGCAGCAGUUACCGUGACAACAUGCUGGUCAUAAUCAAGGCCAGACCCUGGGCUAAGUGUUUCACAUCCUCAGAAGAGAGACACAGAAAGGCUAAGUCACUUCCUCAAGGUCACACAGCUGAGAGAGGUGGAGCUGGGAUUCCUAGCCAGUCCUCAAUACUGUCCCACCUCCCCGCUUUACUUUUCUCACCCAGGAAACCAGGAUAACAACAGAAUCUACUCCCAGCAGUGUUGUGAGGAUUUGGAGCAUUGCGUCAGGGAAAGCCCGUUGCUGAGUGCCUGGCACGUGGGGAAGAGUGGGUGGAAGAACAUGCUUCCUCUCAUCACUGUGCCCCCAUCUGAGAGGUCGCAUCCGAUUCUCCAGAAACAAGGAAGUAGAUGAGAGGCCCCAAACAUCCCAUGCUGUUCCCAUCUCGAGGCCUCUGCACGUGCCCUUCUUGUCUGAAAUGCAUGCAUCUGUCCUUUCUCAACAUGGCCAACCCCAACCCAUCUUCUAAGACUCGGCUCAGCCAUCACCUCCCCUGGGCUGCUUGACUUCUGAGCUCCCAGAGUACCCUGCGUCACCCAGCAUCGUCCGAUGGAAAGAUCUGGCAAGCCACGUCUUCAAAAUCCAAUGAACUCACUGCACAUCUCAAGUUGGACACCAGAUUUUCAUCGGCAACAUGAUCUGUGUAGGUUUCAUAAAAUGUACAGCUAUUCACAUACCAAAGCUGUUCCAAAAUGAUGUGGAAAAAGUGCAAAGUCUUUACGCACUGAAUCACAUAUUAGCUUUCAAAUGUAAAUUCAACUGAAAGGAUCUAACAUGAAAGAUUCAGCUCCCCUGUCACACUCACCACGCUAAAGCGCUCAAUAGGCUAGACCGGACGGCAAGGGCUCACACUGCCCCGCAUUACGAAUGGGUCUCUCGCCCUGUUCUUACCCCACAGCAAACAUUCCAAGUCCCCCUUAGGACAAAGACGCUGUUCCCCAAGCUGGUUUUCCAGGACCUUCUCACCUCAUUGCUCACCAUCCCCAAUCCUGCGCUCUACACGCCAGCACACCAGGCCCUCAGCAGCCCCCAGGCCUUCUCAAUUUCUAUGUUCCCCUUGCCUAGCAUGCUCCCCUCCUCCUUUGCUUGUUGCCUCUUCUUUGUCCUAAAGGGCUCAGCUUGGUUAGCCUCUCUUCUGGAAGUCUCCCUUGAGCCAUGGCCCCGCGCUUGUGUUCCCACAUGAGCUGUGAGGCCUCCAUCUCAGCGCAUAACUACAGUCACAAUGACCCACAAUGACUGAGCCCCGACUGAGGGCUGGGCCCAGUUCUGAGCAGCGUACACGUGUUAUCUUCUAACUCAGAUAUUUCUGUGCGGUAGGUGCUAUCAUUAUCAUCAUCUCUACAGAUAAAGCAACCUAAGCUCAGAGAAGGUCAGUCAUUUGUCCCAGGUCAUACAGCCAGUGGAUGGUGGACCCGUGCUCUUAACCACAACACUAAGACCAGAGCUGUUGUAAGGAUGACUACCUUGGAUGGGAAUCCAAGUGGGGAGAAAGGCAGGCGACUGGCUGGGUGCGGUGGCUCACGCCUGUAAUCCCAGCACUUUGGGAGGCUGAGGCAG
rnacentral:lncRNA from 1 species